UGCCAAAACGUCCGCAACGUAGAGAGCUUCGAAACCAUCCGAUUCGUUUUGGGUUCUAAGUUGGGUUUGGUCGAGUCCUUGCUGUGUGAGGUACCGUUAGGGCAUUCCAGUGAGCUGUGCGAUUUUACCCCAAGAGAUGGAUGAGGUACCCCUGGAGCAGGCCCUGGAUGGUUAUGAUGCUGACACUUAGUUCGUUUAGGAAUUUCUAAAUUAAGUUAUAUCCUUUUGAAAUACUCUAAUGCGUUUAAAGUUUUAAAUUAGGACUUAUUUUGGGAUGACUGUACCUUUAAUAUUUUACUUACAAUCUGUUUCUAACUGUUCUCUUAUAUUAAAAUGUGGACUUACUAUAUUAUAUAUUUCUAUAUAAUCUGGGAUGUUACAUUUAUGGUAUCAGAGCAGGUCGUCCUUAGGAUGACGUGUGAGUUGAGG
rnacentral:sRNA from 1 species